rnacentral:misc_RNA from 1 species
AAAUCUCCGUAUGCUAGUUUGUUUUGAUUUCGAUUUAACCGCUCAAAUUUCUCUUCGAUGGCCGCCAAUUCGAGCCGAGGUGGUUCCUUAUACGGUGGUGCUGCUCCCUACAGAUCAAGGGCAGGACUCAGCACGAGACCGGUGGCGGGCUCCGAUGAAAUACAAUUGCGGAUUGAUCCGAUGCAAGCUGACUUCGGUGAUGAGAUCUCCGGUCUCCGUGGCCAAGUUAGGCAAUUGAGAAAUGUGGCACAAGAGAUAGGGACAGAAGCAAAGUUCCAGAAGGAUUUCUUGGAUAAGCUGCAAAUGACAGUGAUAAAAGCUCAAGCAGGCGUGAAGAACAACAUAAGGAAAUUGAACAGGAGCAUC